rnacentral:misc_RNA from 1 species
AAGACUAUAGACCUGCGGAGUACCUGCGGAAGGAUCAUUAGUGAACGCCCUCACGGGCUUAUAACUAUUCCAAACCUCUGUGGACCGUGCCCUUCGGGGCUAUUUUACAAACAUGGUGUAAUGAACGUCAUAUAUCAUAACAAAACAAAACUUUCAACAACGGAUCUCU